UCGCAGCAACGCGCGUUGCUAAGAGAGCUCUGCUCUCACCGCUUUCUCUCUCUCUUGCUGAAUGUUUACUCUCACGUCAUUGUGGCGAUUUUCGAUUUUAUAUAUAGUGAGAAGAUGGGGACUGUUUUAACAUUUACAAGUGAAAUAAAACGAAAAAUCAGUGUCUCAACGAUCAGGUCGAAUCGGACCGUGUCGAAAGCGAUCCAAAUUGUUGCUACUCUCCCCCCGAGGGUAAGAUAUCAUUAUUGCGCCGUGUGCCAAUUUUAUGGCCCAUAUUCACUUUUACCAGUCGAAAAAAUGGAACUUCAUUAACCGUGUAUCUCGAAUCUCCGUCAGCGUUCUUGGGCAGCAACAAAACAUGCUAGAAGAACGAUUGGUGUGAACUACAAAAAUUGAAUUCACAACUGAAACGAUCGAAUGGACCUUCUCAGUUACGCAAAUGGUGGUGAUAUACGAAACGGCCAUAAAGGGUAGAAAAUGUUAUGAAUAGUUGAUCACCUACGACCACCCGUUGCUCGUUGCCGUCCGCACGCAGGCUUGAAAGCAAGGAUAUGGAUCUUACUUCGUUUCUGUUUGUGUUGCCUCGCACACAUCGGUGAGCGAUGGAAAAAUGCUGUUGUGACAUAGCAGUAUGUGUAAACCGCAGCUCUUAUAAAUGGAAGUUUUGCUCUAUCCAGUCGGCUUCUCGGCAUCUUA